AUUGAACGCUGGCGGCAUGCUUUACACAUGCAAGUCGAACGGCAGCGCGGGGAGCUUGCUCCCUGGCGGCGAGUGGCGAACGGGUGAGUAAUGCAUCGGAACGUGUCCGAUUGUGGGGGACAACCAGCCGAAAGGAUGGCUAAUACCGCAUAAGACCUGAGGGUGAAAGCCGGGGACCGCAAGGCCUGGCGCGAACGGAGCGGCCGAUGUUUGAUUAGCUAGUUGGCGGGGUAAAGGCCCACCAAGGCGACGAUCAAUAGCUGGUCUGAGAGGACGACCAGCCACACUGGAACUGAGACACGGUCCAGACUCC
rnacentral:rRNA from 1 species